GGAGGCUCGCUGAAGCUAGAGAGAAGGAGGGAAGGAAAGAGGCAGGGAGGGAGGGAGGGGGGAAGGUGUACUGCCCCCCCCCUCCGCCUCUUUCCCCUCCAAAGGCCCUUUUCCAGCGCCAGGCAGAGGGCGAGCCAGAAGCCGGCGAGGAGCCAGUCUCGGGGCCUGUGCGACGCGAAAAGAUGGCGCUGCCUUGCCUCGCCUGGCUCCCCUCCCCCUCCAUCCUCCUCCUCCCCUUCCCCUCUCGGCUGCUUCCACUUCCUCCCCAGGAACGCCGCUCCUGCAGCCGGACACCGUCCUUCCUUUAAUAGCUCUCGAAGAAUGAGAAGAAAAUAAGAGGAACAAGGAACAGAAGUGGAGAAAGAAGAGCAGAGGAAUCUUGCCUCUCUAGAGAAAAGGAGACAAAAGUCAAAGUAAGAAAAUCUACAGAAGCCUAAGAGCAGAAAUGAAAGGAAGUGAAGUGACGAAAGAAGACAAAGCUAGAAUUACAAGGCUGAGAAUAGUGAUUGUGUCUGACUGCAGUUGUGAAUGUUGGCUUCUGAAUUAUACCAUCAUAUGUGUUUUAUAGUAGGGGAAACAAGGGUACACCUGAAAGGGGCAUUAUAAGUCACACUGAAACAGUCAGUACCCAUGCACAGGCUGUCUGAUAAGCUUAUCACCCCUUUUAAAGUACUUCAAUAAAAUAUGUUUUAAUUAUAAAUACCAACAGCCUGCAGAUAAUCCCUGUGCUUUUGCCCCAAUUGUCCAAAGUACUUGAGGAUAAUCCAGAAAUGGAGGACAUGUGUAGCUCUUAUGCCAUCUAAAUAAAAUACUUUUGCGUACACGUUAUCUUAAUUUCUUCUAUUAGCUAAAGAUUUAGGGUAUCAUUUUUUUCAAAAGAAGGUCAAACACACAGAGAAAGGUGGGCCCAGGAUGCCCCUGAAAACAUGAUAUUGGGCACUCCUUCCCCUUUUUUGGUGUGCUUCGGAGUUUACAUAUCUGUGCUACAUUCUCUCCCUUGUUGUUUUUUGCACAUGGAAUUUAUUUUUAUUCUGUUCACUAUGAACCAUGCUCAAGAUUCAGUUAUUUACAGUCAACUGUGAAUUUUAAAAAUACUAUUGCGAUAACACUUCUCUAGGAAUCUCUAGGUCUUCCAGCAAAACUCUGCUAGAAUUGGAUCAUUAGAGAUUCCUAGAGAGUUGCUCUUUCUAGAAAUCUGUAGAUCUUGUAGCAUGACUCUAUGAUUAACUUAAGCUGGAAGUUGACCAUAGAAUUACAUUGGAGGAUCUAGAAUUUUAUAGAAAGAACAUUUUAAUGAAAUCCACAAAUAAUAAAAUCCACAAGAACCAAACCAGCAAAUGUCAAAGGCUGACUGUGUUUCCAUUUCCAGUGAAUUCCAGACUCAACAAUUGGACUGUUACAGAUCACCCAGAGGCUGGUGGUUUAACUGAUGAUUUAGAGAGGGUUGAUGGCUUUCGUGUGGCACAAAGUUCAGGCCUGGGAAAUGAUGGUUCUCUCUGUGGAAAAACUGGCUCGGAAAGUGCAGGGCCUCAAGGUCAGAGGAGCCAAAAGUAGCAUCAGCAGAUAAGGAGUUGAGUGAUAAGGAGGAUUCCCAGGAGUAUCCACCUGUAGCUACAGAGAUUAACAAAAGUCUUUGUUUACAAAUCAGAACUGAAAAUAGAUUACGUUGGUCAGAAAGAUUAUGUAGAAAGGUUGUGGAGUAAAAUCAUAGGAGACAUAAUGCUUUCAUGGAUGUCUAUUAAACAAGUUGUUUACCUUAAGGGCAGUUCAGGCAAUGCUGCAUUAGAGUGAGAAGCUAAACCUGAGUUCUCUUGUACCUGGUUCAAGUCAAGCCUUCGUUUUGGAUUUAAUAUAUCCCAGAAGUUUUCUAUGUUCCUGUUCAUGUAUUGCUGUUCAGGUUUUUACUAGUUAUACCUUCUUGCUUGUGGACUGAUGCUGUACCUGUGAUUUCUGGCUGUUCCUUGACUUUGUCACCUUUGGAAACUUAUGAGACAUUUGGAUUACUUACACCUAUUGCUAAACCUUUUUGGAUUAUACAUUUUCCUUUCUUAUUCCUGCUUUUUACAUGCUUUUUAUAUGUUGUUACAAUAAACAGUUUGUUUAUA